UACGAAGGGGGCUAGCGUUGCUCGGAAUCACUGGGCGUAAAGGGUGCGUAGGCGGGCCUUUAAGUCAGGGGUGAAAUCCUGGAGCUCAACUCCAGAACUGCCUUUGAUACUGAAGAUCUUGAGUCCGGGAGAGGUGAGUGGAACUGCGAGUGUAGAGGUGAAAUUCGUAGAUAUUCGCAAGAACACCAGUGGCGAAGGCGGGUCUCUGGACAGUUCCUGACGCUGAGGCACGAAGGCCAGGGGAGCAAACGGG
rnacentral:rRNA from 1 species